UUAUGCCAGUUUAGUUAUUAAGGACAGACUUCUACCCCAGGUAGUUAGUCUUACUUAGGGUGAUAUUUACUAUAGAGAGAGUGGAGGAUAACUAAGAAGACCACUUGGAGUUUGUAAUAAGAAAAUACAACUUGAUCCUAGACAACAGGUCCAGCUGAAACUUCAGAAAGAAUACUUAUUCCUGUGCAUAGAUUCUCCAGAUGAAUCAAGACUGACAUCCACGGCAAAUAACAAUUUCCGGUCUAAAAAUGGGGAAAAAAGAGAGAUUGCUCCAAGGAAAAUUUCCAACAACUGACAGUGACAAGUCGACUGGAAGAUUUGAAAGAGUAAGCGUGACUUCCUCUGAUGAUACAUUGAAAAAUCACCUAGUACAUCACAGCUGAAGAGUACGCCGUGCAGUUUUUAAACUUCUUUUUUUAAUGCUACCAUUGCUGAACUGAAAAAUCACUGUACAGUUUUAUUAUGUUAUGGUAAUAUUAGUAGGCUAAUUUAAUUGAAACCGUCACCUUAGCCACUUCAUUUUACCUUCAUUUUAAUUAUUUGCUCUAGCAAGGUAUUACUGUAGUUGAAAGAGUGAAAGAAUGUAAAAUUUCUAUAAGCAUUCAUUCCAAAUCAAGACCUGUAUUGAUUUGAUAAUAUUCACAAGCUUUUUUUUAUGUUCCAUGUGUACUUGAAUUAAUAAGUUUUACUUGUGCUCACUAGAGCACUUUUUAUGCCUGAAUACUCAAAUAUUCAUUGGAAGUGAAUUUUGAAGUAUACUUUCCCCAUUUCUAGCUGCAAUUUGUUUUUUAUUGAUUAGUUACAUAAAUAAUGAGUAAAAACUGAGUAAGGGCUUCAGGGUGUCAACCAUAUUAGAUGGCAGCACUGAAAUAGAAUAUUACAUUCCUGUAUUAUGUUGAUGUUUCCAUUCUGAAACACUGGUAUUUCAGAAUACCAAAAUAGCUGAAAUACAGUUUUAUGUUUGCUUUUACUACUGUAAGUCAAUAACAUAAUGAGGUGCUUUUUAUAGAAUGUUAUGAAUAAAAACUUCUGAUAGUGACAGGAAACCAGAAAGAGAUGAAUUAAACUAAGGAUGACUGAAGAUCAGAGUGGGUGAUCUUCCUGCAGUAUAUUUCUUGUAGCUUGUUAUAGCUGUACUGUGUGCAUCAUGUGAGAGAAGAUUAUGGAGAAGACGUCUCAGUUUUAACUGCCUAUUUUAAGAGGGAAUAACUAGACCAUCAACUUGAUUCCAGACUAAUAUAUUAUAUACAAAGACUUGCCUCAGAUAUUAUGUUAAUAUUCUUGCAAGUUCACUGAAUACCACUUUAACAAUAUCAAUAUAAUUACCCUAUGUAAUAAUUGGAACAAGUGGGUUUGAUCCAUUAUAGUUAAGGCCCAUGUAACUUUGUAAAAAUCAGAGUAAAAAAACCCAAACAAACCUCUGCCUGCAAAAUUCACAUAUAUUUGAUUGUUUACAUUGAUGUGGGAAACUAUAGCAAUAAUAAUUGAGAUUUAAUGGGUGCAAAUAAAUAUCUAAAUGCCAUAGGAUCUACCACAUACAGGAAAAAUGUGUGUUAUUAAUGAAGAUGUGACCUUGUAUUUUCACAGUGUCUGAUUAAGUACACUGUGUUGGCUGCUCAUCACAUUGUUUGAAUGGGAUUCACUUCUUCCUCCUAUGGAACUUAUGGCCACUAUAGUCACAGUUCACCGACAAGUGAUGAUUUCAAGCUUACUAUUUCACAGGUUAGAGCAGCACCUGUAUAGUAGUAAAUGUCACUGGAAUACGUGUGAAAUGGGCUUCAGGCUCAAUAAGUGAUAACUGUCUCCCUGAUGCUCCCUAUUUCUCACUAUCAGUGCUACUGAAGGUGGCUGCUGCUAUGAGCCUGUUUGACUUGGGUAGAUAACAAAUAGCAAAUACUGAUUAAAAAAUACUUCAUAAACAAGCCAUGGAUGUAAUUUGAUACCACAAACUAUUAAGUGAACAACUUGAAAUAAUGAAAAAAAAAUCAUGAAUAAUCACAAUCUCUCUACAUCUAAUUUACUAACAACAAGAAUAAAGGGACUGUAUUCAGUGAAAAAAUAAUUAACAAUGAAUAAUUUGGAUGACUCUUCUAUUCAUUUUCUUCCACUGCUUUAUUGUUCCCUGUCAAACUCAUGCAUAUCCCUUUUUUCCUCCAUACAACUUUCAUCCUUGAUGGAUAGAGUUUGUGAUUUGGCAGCCAUCUCCAGCCAAUGACAGUAUGAGAUCACUUAUGGAAGCUACUGUGGCUACCUGACUAGCUGGGGACUAGGUCAUUUUAGUCAUCCACAGCAUUUGAUUCACAGCUUUUGAAAGACUUAAGAAUAAAAAAGGGGAACUGAAAAUCAAAUAUAUUCUAUGGCAUGCAUUCUCUUAAGAGGAUAAUUAGCUAUUUCAUUAGAACACCAGAUUUAGAUGCAGACCAAAAACAAAGUAUGAAUCAAAACAUACCUAGAACUAGUCUAUAGUUUAGGCUAAGGAUGGGCAAAGUCUGGCCUGCAGGCCAGAUACGGUCAGCAGAGGACUCCAUUUCCCAGCUGCUCCUGUGCAUGGUUGGGGCUGCUCAAGGCAUGGGGACCAGCCCCUGCUGUGCUGCCAGGGCAUGUGGCAGAACAGGGCAGGGAGCUGCUCCAGAGCCACUGGGAUCUUGUGAUGGGGGCAGCUUGCUCUGGAUCCAGGGCACAGCCAUGAUCUGUAGCCUGCAUGCUCUGAGCAGAGGCACUCAGGCAGGGGAUCACAGCUCUGCCCUGGGUCCUUGCAGUGGUGACAGCCUGAUCUGGAGCAAGGGCAGGGCCUCAAUCUCCUGCCUACAUGCCCCUGCCCAGAACAUAACAGGCUAUAGAUCACAGCUCUGCACUGGAUCCAGAGCAAGCUGCCCCCAUCAUAAGAUCCCAGCAGCUCUGGAACAGCCCCCUGCCCUCCGCUGCCGCACACCCUGCCAGCCUGGCUGGGGCUGGUCUCCAAGGCAAUCCCAGCCUUAAGCUUUCACAGUGCAGCUGGGACUGGGGUCUCCAUGGAGACUGGCACCAGCCUUGCAGGCAGGGGCUGCUGGGAAAUGGAGUCUGGCCAGAUCAGCCAUUUUGUUGUCAUGUCCCACCCCCUGCCCCCCAGUUUAGGUUAAUUUAAGAUAAAUGAACCAGAAUUCCAAUCAGAAAGAUGCCCCAAAUCUGAAACACUUGAGUUUGUAUACCCAUAUGUGGACAUAAGAUUGACAGCACGGUAUCAUCUCUAACUGUAAGUAAGGCCCUGCUGCUCGUUACAUAUAUUAUGCAAUUAACGGGUGAAUCGCACAAUAAAUUUAGACUAGCCACCCAUGCAAAGUAAUUAUCACACCAUAAAAAGGAUUAUCUAGAUAUAAAAGAGCCAACUAGAUAUAAAGUUAGUGAUUGACAAUGUGUAAUAACUCCAGAGCUGGUUUCUAUCCAGUUUUAAUUUGAAUGUGUGGCAGUGCUCUAAGCUCCUUAGCUAUAACUGGUCUCCAGUUUAAGUUAUACUUUUCUCUUCUUGUAAAAUGGCCUGAGCCUUUGUUGGAAACGGGAGCAUAGAAAUCAAAUAAAAGAGUAAAUAAAUAAAUAUGUAAUAUGUAAUAAACUUUUGGCCGCUGAUUUUUCAAAAUCCAAAACCUUACAUUAUGAAAAGAGUUAUAAAAUGUUUGGUAUUCACCAAAUAUAUUAAGAUGAAGAAGACGAAAAAAAUAUGAAUUGCUUGCUAAUCUUAAAAUAACCCAAAAUUUAAAUUUUAAUUAACAAAAAGCAUAUCAAAUAAAGGUAGCAAUGGACAUAGAAAACACAGGGUAGUAUCUACAGUUUCCUGCUGCACAAUAUGGAUCUAGUGGUAAUUUAUGGUGAUUAGACAAGUAAUCUCACAGGCAACACCUUACAUUUUCUGUAUACACCUUUGUGAUUUCUUUUACAGUUCUUUAAACAUAAAGGUUGAACAGGGCACAAUUAUUUUGCCUUCAACUUAUUCAUGUAAUGCAAGUGACAAGUUCCAGCAGAUAGAGUAGACAUCAGUGUCACUUGCUUUGUUUAAAAUAGUGGAAAUUUUGACCUGUAUUCCCAUGAAAACUGCCUUAUCCAUUCAUCUUGAUAAGAAAUGUACUAUUUCUCUGCUUAUGUUUUACUCUAACAAGAAGGCAGAGCUAUUCCAGUGUUGCCUAAUAUUUAUUUUUCUUAUAGAAUUAAAGUUGGAUCCUUGUAAGGGCACAGGAUGGGGAUGGACUGUUGAUGAGUUCUACCUGAAUUAAUGUAUAGGACAAGUCUUUAAAACAACUUCAUUCAUAGUUUAUUUUAUGUUGCCUUAUUUAACAGUACCCAGACAUAUACUAGAUGUUCUACAGAAAGCUACAAGACAAAGUUAUUUCCACACAUACUUUAUAGUCUAACUUUAGAGGCAACACAAGAGGUAGUGGUGGGGAACAAACAAUUGUUGGGAGUUGAGGAGGAAGAAAAAAGUUACACACUAAUAAGGUCACAUAAAGCAAGGUUAUCUCUAAGCCCUCCUCAGUCACAUGUAGUAAGAACCCCUCCUCCUUCUGCUCUCCAGCAAAAAUAAAGGCAGUGAAAACUGAAGCUCUGAAAGUGCCUCACCUUUGAGAACUACAGUCUGCAUUGCUCAUAGUUUGCUGAAGAGGGGAAGGAGUUCUUACAUAGUGGUGUAUUACAAAAAAAUGCUCCCUGGCUCUCACAAAAAUCAAGCUGGCUACCUUUCCUUCUUUUUACUUUCCAACUUGCCGAGAGUAGCUAGUUGGGUACACAACUGUGAGUAAGCUGUAUCCCACAAAAAAAGGGACAAGUUAUUUUACUUGUGACUAUCGUUCCCAGUAAACAAGCAGGUACAUGGAGUGAGGGGAGGGAAAUGGACCAUGUCUUUUUGCAGCAGGAUGCAUUCAUAGAGGAGGCCCUAAUGAGGGUAGCACUGUUAUGUCCUGCCACUUAUACUCAGGUAGAAGCCUAAUGGUUCAGUGUACAACUGGUUUGUCUUCUGACAUCCCUUUUGUGUCACAGAUCAAAGAGAAAGCAAAAGGGACUAAAGCAGGAGUGGGCAAAGUCAAACCCAUGGGCUGAAUUGGGCUUGUGAUGGACUCCAUUUCCCAGCUGGCCCUGCCCAUGUCUUUCCAGCUGGUUUCCAUGGAGACUCCAGGAGUGGUGGGGCUGUGACAGCGUGGGGCUGGGGUUUCCAUGGAUAUUGGCCCGAGCAGCACUGACUGGGUGGGGAGCUGCUUCGGGGCUGGGAUCUUGUCCUGGUGACAGAUCAUGCUGGAGCCUGGGCAGAGUACUCUGCUGCAAGAUCCCAGCCCGAGCCCUGGAACAUCUCCCCACUCAGUAGCCAUGCACCCUGCCAGUACUGCUUGGGUCAGUGUUCAUGGAAACCCCAGCCUUGCCCUGCCACUCCUGGGGUUUCCAUGGAAACUGUUUGGCAUGACAUGGACAGGGGCUGCUGGGAAAUGAAGUUUGGCUGCCCACCCCUGGAUAAAGCUUACCUGUACUCCUAAAGCCAUGCUGCCACUACACUUCCCACUACUUGACUUGUUGUCCCUUCAGCAACCACAAAAGGUGCUGCUUUUCCAGCUGUCCUUGCAACUAAAUGGAUGUAUCUACAAGUGCAUGUUACAGUGCAGUAGACUAAUUUGCUGUUCAGUAAAACAUCACUGUCUACUCAUGCACAGCAAGGGGUAGAUGUAGACUAAUUUACAGUGCUGUCAGAUAAUCCCAUUAGACACAGGUACUAUCUACCUGAAGAGUAAAUUCAUGCACUUAAAUACAUGUGUAGAUGGUGAUGUCGGGAUUAGUUUACUUUGGCUCAAAUUGCACUGUAGUUUAUUCAGUCACAUUAAUUGCAUGUAUAGACAUUCCCAAUGGAUGCCAUUUAGGCAUAUCCUGCUCUUGUUCAACCACAUGGAGAGGAGGAAGGGGAACCUUACCUUGUCCAAUAUCCUCUUGGUUCAUUGCUUAAAUUAUUAUGCUUCAAAUUAUUACUAACCUCUAAGCCUGAUUUGUAAUAUUAAAUAUUAAGAAUUUUAAAAAUCCUUCACUUCAAGCUAUAAUUUCUCAUUUAAGUCAAAGCCUCCUAAUAUCCUCUGUGAGUGUACUUUGUGAAUGUCCUAUACUGCAGAGACUGUAAGGGGCACUUGAGGACUGCUUCAGACUGCAAGAGCUAUGUAGGUGGCAAUAGUAUAAAUGAGAGUCAGGUCCUUAACAUCUGAUCUGGAAUCAUAAUCACAAAAUAUGAGAAAUAUUAUUUGAAAGAAGUAGGUGCCAGACUGAAUGUUAUUAAAUAUGAACUAAUAACAAAAUUACUCUUGUAUAGCUCUUUUCCUCAGAAAACCUCAAAGUCUUUUACAAAGAGGCUCCUCUUAUUGUUCCCAUUUUUCAGAUGGAUAAAUGUGAGGUACAGACAGUGGAAAUGAUGUACUCAGGUGGCGCAUCUACACAUGCAUUUGAUCUGAUAUCAGUUUACUCGCAAGUAAACUACUAACAAGUAAACACACCCAGGCAGAUGUCUACAUAUGCUGGGAAAUGGAAGCAGAUUUACUGCUAAUGGCAGCAAACUGCUCCCACUUUCUGGGGCCCUACAAUGGAUCCCUGCCACCACCAGGAGGGUGCUAGGCAAGGAGCUGGUAGGGAGCACCAGGCCAAGAGACAGCUGUCUCCUGGCCAGGGCUGGGAGAUUACAUCCUGCUUCUGGGGCUUGCUGCUGCUGGGGUGAGGACAAUGUCCCCCUGCCCCAGAAGCAGGGAGCUCCUGGUCCUGGAUCCUAGAUAAGGGGCAGGGGUCUUGGAAAGAGCUGCAUGGGAGGGGCAGAUCCCAGUUCCCUGCCCCAAUCUACUGGUGAGGUAGCUAGCAGCUAGCUCACUGCUAGCUGCUCCACUGGCAUCUCAGGACAGGGAGCUGGGACCUACUCCACCCCUGCAUCUCUUUUGAAGUUGUGUGCCUUGAUUGCCUGAUCAGGGCAUGGGGCUGGGACCUGCCUCUGUCCAGGACAGUUCCCAGUCUCUACUCCAUGAUUAUGGGGCAGAAACUGAGAAGUCUGUUCCCUGCUCAGUUUCAUGAGUGUGGAGUUGGGCAGGGAACAGGCUGGGGAGCUUGUAUAAGCAAGUACUUAAUGACUGCACAGUGACCCAAGUUACUGUGCAGUAGUGCCGUCAAAUGGCUUUUUUGUGAUGCUAUUUUGCAGUAGCCCCCAGACUGCUGUGUAGUAAUGUUGCGUCAUGGGAUAUGCCAUGCGACGCUACUGCGCAGUAGUCUCAGGCUACUGUACAGUCAAUGUCUUGUGUAGAUGUGGCCACUAGGUUUAUUUUUUUUGGUACAAGAUAGACUUUUUGUGUUUGGUAGAAUUUCUCCAUCAGUUAUUGUAGUGGUCUUAUUUUAUAUUACAUAGUUUGAGUAUGAGAUUUAUUUUACUUUUUAAUGGAUGCAUCUACAUGAGACGUUUACUGCAGUUGCCUAAUUAGCUCCACAGUAAAGUCUCGGCAUCUACACAUGUGGCCCUAUUAGGUCACAGUAAACUAAUUUACUGUGUCAUAGGUAGGUACUUGUAAACAUAAGUACUAUCCUAUGGUGGCAUUCGUUAGUGCACAGAAAUGCACAUGUAGACACUGAUGGAGUUGUUUGGGGCACAAGGGUGUUUCAGUGCAGGGGCUGCCUGCUGGCUAGCCCCACCCUCGAGCACUCUUGUACCCCAGCCAGUGCCUCUGCAUCAUGUUGAAGUUGGUUGGAGCACCCUCCAGCUGGCAGGCUGACCCCCAGGGCCCCUCCCAGCCAGGGCUCCUACAACACACCUCAACAUGGUGAGGUCCUAGGCGCACCUUCAAACAUGGCGCCCAGGAAUAAUAAACUCCAGCACGAUAUUUGCCAGAGUUUACUGCAUCACAAUUUCAUGUGUAUAUGUACCCAGUAAUUAACAGAUAAAAUCUGUUAUAAUAAUGCAUUUAUAUAUCAUUGCCAAAUAAAAGGUAACCACCAGAUGGUACAUUUUAUGUUAAGCUGAACAGCACAUUAUAUUAUGCCUUUGUUCCUGUGUUUAGUAAGAUGAAAAUUUAUUCUAGAGCUACAUUGUUCCUUAUAUUAUGGGGUUGGUGAAGCUGAUGAUUUUUUUUUACAUGGAAUAUCGAGCAUCAACCAUAAACAUGGUGAAAAUUAACAUCUUAGGGCUCAGUUGUAGUGUAUGGUUAUGAAACAGCAGUAGAUUUGCUCUUGUUACUAAAACAUCAAUUCCUACUAUGAGGAUUUUUUUAUAAAUCCACAAUAUUGAGGAUUUUUAAAAUAUUUUUUUUAUAUUGAUAAGAAUAGCAUAGAGUUAGGCUGGAAUUACAUUUUGUUAUUCUGUCUUACUUUGUUAUUUUAUUGUGUUUUAUAAGGCGGAGGGUGGGGGGGGUCUGUGAUCUUUUGUUGUAAGCAGCCCUUGGACUUUUAGGGAAGAGGUGGCAUAUAAACCAAACACAUAAAAACAUAAAGGAGCAAGAGUAGUUAUAGAACUUAACUUCUCUUGAAGUGCUGUUCCUGUCUUUGGAUGAAACUGUUUCCAACUGAAGUUAGUGGGAGUUUUGCCAUUGCUAUCAAUAGGGCCAGGAUUCCACCCCCUCCCCGCUGCCAUAUUAAUAGUAUCUCAACCUUUUACUAACACUGUCAUAUUUGCCAGCAUUUCUACAGUAUUUGGCUUCAAAGUUUUGCUAAAUAUUAACAUUUUGUAUGCUGAAUCAGAGGGAACACUGAAGAGAAUGUGGUAUAUUAACAACAUAUUUGAUUCGUUCUGGUGGAAACAUGCUUAAAACAUAAUUAGCUUGUGUUUAAUGGAGGGAAAAAUUAAGAAUAUCUGUUAAAUACCUUACAUAAGAACAAGACUGAAACAAAAUGCAGUUUAAGAGGACUGAAAUUUGUAAGCAAUUGGAAUAAGUAUGAAAGUAAUACAUUUAAAAAUUAUUUGGGAAUCAAAAUUAGAGGGUUUUUGAAAUGAGGUAGUUUGUCUCUUGCUUUUUUAAUUUCUUCCUUCAAAGCUCAUAUAUCCUAUUGCCAGUUUUUGACAUCUAUUAUAUCUCUGUUACCAUCAUGGGAUUUUUCCUUUUGGAAUUCUGGGGAGAAACAUUUUUCCUCCAUAACUGAUUUAAGCUGCACCAAUCUGGAGUGUGGCAUUAAAAAUCUGACAUUGUUCUUUAGGCAAUGACCUAUGUCUUUAAAAUGAAGAAUAUACAUUAAAUUUUAAUGGCUUCAUUUACUUGGAUAUUAUUGUUGACUUUGUAAUUCCCUCUUCAAAAACACAAUGCUAGCUAAUGAUAACAAUCUUUGUUAGGAAAAAUCCCAUCUCUUUCACACAUGAUGGCAGAUUCACCAUCUUGCCAUUGCUGGAUUUAGUCUAAUGUCAAUAUUUCUACAAAGCUGAACACUGCCUGUGAAUGCUGUAUUUCCUCCCUUGUCAUCAUUCUGUGUAAGGCACAUUAUUAUUUCCUUUCUGUUUUCAGCUCCAAAUAACAUAUAUACUGAAAGGUUAAGAAAUAAACAGCUAAACUGCCUAACCAUUUCA